rnacentral:rRNA from 1 species
GUCUACGGCCAUAUCACCCUGAACGCGCCCGAUCUCAUCUGAUCUCGGAAGCUAAGCAGGGUCGGGCCUGGUUAGUACUUGGAUGGGAGACCACCUGGGAAUACUGGGUGCUGUAGGCU